rnacentral:tRNA from 1 species
GUUGUAGCUCAGUGGUAGAGCACUAGCCUAGCAUGUGCAAGGCCCUGGGUUCAAUCCUCAGCACACA